GAACGAACGCGGGCGGCGUGGAUAAGACAUGCAAGUCGAACGCUUAUUUCAAGGUAGCAAUAUUUUGAAAUGGGAGUGGCGUAAGGGUGCGUAACACGUGGGCAAUUUGCCAUGAAGUUGGGGAUAACUCGCUGAAAGGCGAGCUAAUACCGAAUGUGACUGUCUGGGGGCAUCCCUGGAUUGUUAAAGUUGGGGACCGCAAGGCCUGACGCUUCAUGAUAAGCCCGCGGCCUAUCAGCUAGUUGGUGAGGUAACGGCCCACCAAGGCUAAGACGGGUAGCUGGUCUGAGAGGACGACCAGCCACACUGGAACUGAGACACGGUCCAGACACCUACGGGUGGCAGCAGUCGAGAAUUUUUCUCAAUGGGCGAAAGCUUGAAGGAGCGACGCCGCGUGGGGGAUGAAGGGCUUCGGUCUGUAAACCCCUGUCAUUUGCGAACAAACCUUCUUAUUUAAUAGAUAAGAAGCUGAUAGUAGCGAAAGAGGAAGGGACGGCUAACUCUGUGCCAGCAGCCGCGGUAAUACAGAGGUCCCAAGCGUUGUUCGGAUUCACUGGGCGUAAAGGGUGCGUAGGUGGCGGGGCAAGUUUGAUGUGAAAUCUCCGAGCUCAACUCGGAAACGGCAUUAAAUACUGCUUUGCUUGAAGGUCGGAGGGGAGACUGGAAUUCUCGGUGUAGCGGUGAAAUGCGUAGAUAUCGAGAGGAACACCGGUGGCGAAAGCGAGUCUCUGGACGAUUCUUGACACUGAGGCACGAAAGCUAGGGGAGCAAACAGGAUUAGAUACCCUGGUAGUCCUAGCCGUAAACGGUGCACAUUUGCCGUGAGAGGAAUCGACCCCUUUCGUGGCGUAGCUAACGCGAUAAGUGUGCCGCCUGGGAAGUGCGGUC
rnacentral:rRNA from 1 species